CGGCACCACGGUCGGAUC
rnacentral:misc_RNA from 1 species